CACGUAGGGCGCAAGCGUUGUCCGGAAUUAUUGGGCGUAAAGCGUCCGCAGGUGGUUUAUCAAGUCUGCUGUCAAAGCGCGAGGCUUAACUUCGUAAAGGCAGUGGAAACUGAUAGACUGGAGUGCGGUAGGGGCAGAGGGAAUUCCCAGUGUAGCGGUGAAAUGCGUAGAUAUUGGGAAGAACACCAGUGGCGAAGGCGGCGAUCUGGGCUGAUACUGACGCUGAGGUGCGAAAGCGUGGGGAGCAAACAGG
rnacentral:rRNA from 1 species